rnacentral:tRNA from 1 species
GCCCAGGUGGCGGAAUGGUAGACGCGGUGGACUUAAAAUCCACUUGCCGCAAGGCAGUGAAGGUUCGAAUCCUUUCCUGGGCACCA